rnacentral:rRNA from 1 species
AUUGAACGCUGGCGGCAUGCCUAACACAUGCAAGUCGAACGGUAACAGGCCCUUCGGGGUGCUGACGAGUGGCGGAUGGGUGAGUAAUACUUAGGAAUCUACCCUGUAGUGGGGGACGAACCCGGGAAACGUACGGGCGUAAUACCGCAUACGCUCUACGGAGGAAAGACGGGGACCGCAAGGCCUCGCGCUAUUGGAUGAGCCUAAGCCCGAUUAGCUAGUUGGUGGGGUAAUAGCCACCAAGGCAAUGAUCGGUAGCUGGUCUGAGAGGACGACCAGCCACACUGGGACUGAGACACGGCCCAGACUCCUACGGGAGGCAGCAGUGGGGAAUAUUGGACAAUGGGCGCAAGCCUGAUCCAGCCAUGCCGCGUGCGGGAAGAAGGCC